UACGAAGGGGGCUAGCGUUGCUCGGAAUCACUGGGCGUAAAGCGCACGUAGGCGGCUUUUUAAGUCAGGGGUGAAAUCCUGGAGCUCAACUCCAGAACUGCCUUUGAUACUGGGAAGCUUGAGUCCGGAAGAGGUGAGUGGAACUCCGAGUGUAGAGGUGAAAUUCGUAGAUAUUCGGAAGAACACCAGUGGCGAAGGCGGCUCACUGGUCCGGUACUGACGCUGAGGUGCGAAAGCGUAGGGAGCAAACAGG
rnacentral:rRNA from 1 species